rnacentral:rRNA from 1 species
GAUCCUGGCUCAGGACGAACGCUGGCGGCGUGACUAACACAUGCAAGUCGAACGGAGUUACGUUUUCACUUAAAUCUGGCUGAGGGGUUAGAUUUAAGGAGAGCGUAACUUAGUGGCGGACGGGUGAGUAACGCGUGAGCAACCUGCCUUCUUGAGGGGAAUAACGUCUGGAAACGGACGCUAAUACCGCAUAACAUCUGAGAGUCGCAUGGCACUCAGAUCAAAGGAGCAAUCCGCAGGAAGA